rnacentral:rRNA from 1 species
GUAUGAAUGGCAUAACGAGGGUUCAACUGUCUCUUAUUCUUAAUCAGUGAAAUUGACCUCCCCGUGCAGAGGCGGGGAUAUUCAUACAAGACGAGAAGACCCUGUGGAGCUUAAGACUAAUAAAUUAAUUCAACAAACUUUACUUCUAAGGAAAUAACACAAUGAAAUAUAACUUAUAGUCUUUGGUUGGGGUGACCUCGGAGUAUAAAAUAACCUCCGAAUGACAUAACCUAGAUUAACAAAUCUAAGUGUAUUUAAAAUACCAGUAAUUGACCCAUAUCUUGAUCAACGGACCAAGUUACCCCAGGGAUAACAGCGCAAUCCUAUUCUAGAGCCCAUAUCGACAAUUAGGGUUUACGACCUCGAUGUUGGAUCAGGACAUCCAAAUGGUGCAACCGCUAUUAAUGGUUCGUUUGUUCAACGAUUAAAGUCCUACGUGAUCUGAGUUCAGACCGGAGAAAUCCAGGUCGGUUUCUAUCUGUAUAUUCAUUUCUCCCAGUACGAAAGGACAAGAGAAAUAAGGCCAACAUUCUUAGAUGAGCCUAGAAUUAAUAUAUGAACUAAUCUCAAUAUUUUCAUUCAAUAAAUUAAUACUCUAGAAGAGAGUUA